AGAGUUUGAUCCUGGCUCAGGACGAACGCUGGCGGCGCGCCUAACACAUGCAAGUCGAACGGAGCUUAGAGAGCUUGCUUUUUAAGCUUAGUGGCGAACGGGUGAGUAACGCGUGAGUAACCUGCCCUAGAGUGGGGGACAACAGUUGGAAACGACUGCUAAUACCGCAUAAGCCCACGGUACCGCAUGGUACUGAGGGAAAAGGAUUUAUUCGCUUUAGGAUGGACUCGCGUCCAAUUAGCUAGUUGGUGAGGUAACGGCCCACCAAGGCGACGAUUGGUAGCCGGACUGAGAGGUUGAACGGCCACAUUGGGACUGAGACACGGCCCAGACUCCUACGGGAGGCAGCAGUGGGGGAUAUUGCACAAUGGGGGAAACCCUGAUGCAGCGACGCCGCGUGGAGGAAGAAGGUCUUCGGAUUGUAAACUCCUGUUGUUGAGGAAGAUAAUGACGGUACUCAACAAGGAAGUGACGGCUAACUACGUGCCAGCAGCCGCGGUAAAACGUAGGUCACAAGCGUUGUCCGGAAUUACUGGGUGUAAAGGGAGCGCAGGCGGGAAGACAAGUUGGAAGUGAAAUCCAUGGGCUCAACCCAUGAACUGCUUUCAAAACUGUUUUUCUUGAGUAGUGCAGAGGUAGGCGGAAUUCCCGGUGUAGCGGUGGAAUGCGUAGAUAUCGGGAGGAACACCAGUGGCGAAGGCGGCCUACUGGGCACCAACUGACGCUGAGGCUCGAAAGCAUGGGUAGCAAACAGGAUUAGAUACCCUGGUAGUCCAUGCCGUAAACGAUGAUUACUAGGUGUUGGGGGAUUGACCCCCUCAGUGCCGCAGUUAACACAAUAAGUAAUCCACCUGGGGAGUACGACCGCAAGGUUGAAACUCAAAGGAAUUGACGGGGGCC
rnacentral:rRNA from 1 species